rnacentral:rRNA from 1 species
AACGGAGGGGGCGAGCGUUAUUCAUCAUUAUUGGGCGUAAAGGGUAUGUAGGCGGAUCCGUUAAAGCUUUGAAAAAAACAGCCUUGUAGGGCUGUUACAAAAAGCUGCUUGGAUUUGGAAAAGUAUAAGGUUGGCAGAAUUACUAAUGUAGAGGUAAAAUUCGGUAAUAUUAGUAGGAAUACCUAUGGCGGAAGCAGCUUUCUAGAACUUUUGACGCUGAUGUACUAAAGCAUGGGGAUCAAACAGG